UAGUAAAGGAAUUUUUAGCAU
rnacentral:piRNA from 1 species